rnacentral:rRNA from 1 species
AACAGGAUUAGAUACCCUGGUAGUCCACGCCGUAAACGAUGAGUGCUAGGUGUUGGGGGGCUACGCCCCUCAGUGCCGAAGGUAACCCAUUAAGCACUCCGCCUGGGGAGUACGGCCGCAAGGCUGAAACUCAAAGGAAUUGACGGGGGCCCGCACAAGCGGUGGAGCAUGUGGUUUAAUUCGAAGCAACGCGAAGAACCUUACCAGGGCUUGACAUCCCGCUGACCCCUCCAGAGAUGGAGGUUUCCUUCGGGACAGCGGUGACAGGUGGUGCAUGGUUGUCGUCGGCUCGUGUCGUGAGAUGUUGGGUUCAGUCCCGCAACGAGCGCAACCCUUGUCGUUAGUUGCCAGCAUUUCGGAUGGGCACUCUAACGAGACAGCCGGUGAAAGCCGGAGGAAGGUGGGGAUGACGUCAAAUCAUCAUGCCCCUUAUGUCCUGGGCUACACACGUGCUACAAUGGCUGGUACAAAGGGCAGCGAACCCGCGAGGGGGAGCCAAUCCCAAAAAGCCAGUCUCAGUUCGGAUCGCAGGCUGCAACUCGCCUGCGUGAAGCCGGAAUCGCUAGUAAUCGCGGAUCAGCAUGCCGCGGUGAAUACAUUCCCGGGUCUUGUACACACCGCCCGUCACGCCACGAGAGUUUGCAACACCCGAAGUCGGUGAGGCAACCUUUUAGGAGCCAGCCGCCGAAGGUGGGGCAGAUGAUUGGGGUGAAGUCGUAACAAGGUAACC